GCAAUCAUCCCAUGUACGGUUCUUCUGGAGACACUUUUCUUUAGGAAGAGAUUCAGGUCUGUCUUAACUGCGCAUCUGUGCUUGACACGAUGAGUAUAUAAUUUAUUAAUUCAGGUAUAUAAAUGGUGUCAGUUUCUGUGGUUAGUUCAACCUCUUACGCCCACAGCAAUUUGGAGAUUGGAGUUGACUGCAGUUUAAUUUUGUGGGGGUUUGAAAUGGUUGUUAAUACUUAACUGGAAAAUGAAAAUAAAUAAAAUACAGACUAGAUUGCUUGAAGGUAUAUACAGCUUAUAGGGACCCUUAGUUAAUUCAUCCAACUAUUUUGUUCCCCAGAAAGUGAAACUUCUCCCUAGAUGACAGCGUUUGAAGAUUCUUUAAUUGAUUGUUUUAUUAGAGACGGACUCACAGUUGAAAAGAGCCAUAUAUAUCUUGUCUUCAAUUUGGAUCAAAUCUUUACUCCUUUCACCUGUGCUUGUCUCAGUUAGAGAUCUAUUGAUCCCUUCAUGCAUGCAUCUUCUUCAUGUAUCAGAUUUUUGUAAAGCUUUUGCCUGCAAAACGUGUUCAAGUUAAUAUAAAUCUGCUAGUUUUUAGGUCAUAGCAUUUACCAUGUUGCCAUACUGUGUUGUUACUUGAUUGAGGAAAAAGAAUUCAAUUUUCAUUUAGCUAUUCUUGUCAAAGUUGUUUAUUUGUUGCAUUUGUGUGCUCAUAAUUGCAUUCUUGCAGCCAGAAUAUCCAGCUUUCACUGGUGAUCCUUCUUGUGGGUGUUGGAAU
rnacentral:misc_RNA from 1 species